CCGAUCACCGAAGUUAAGCAACGCUGAGCCUGAUCAGUACCUAGAUGGGAGACCGUUUGGGAAUACCACGUGCUGUAA